rnacentral:rRNA from 1 species
CCUACGGGUGGCAGCAGUGAGGAAUAUUGGUCAAUGGGCGCGAGGCUGAACCAGCCAAGUCGCGUGAGGGAUGAAGGUUCUAUGGAUUGUAAACCUCUUUUAUCAGGGGAUAAAGUGUGGGACGUGUCCUAUUUUGUAUGUACCUUAUGAAUAAGGAUCGGCUAACUCCGUGCCAGCACCCGGGGUAAUCCGGGGGAUCCGAGCGUUAUCCGGAUUUAUUGGGUUUAAGGGGUGCGUAGGCGGCCUUUUAAGUCAGCGGGUAAAGUCCGUGGCUCAACCAUAGAAUGGCCGUUGAAACUGGGGGGCUUGAGUAUGUUUGAGGCAGGCGGAAUGCGUGGUGUAGCGGUGAAAUGCUUAGAUAUCACGCAGAACCCCGAUUGCGAAGGCAGCCUGCCAAGCCAUGACUGACGCUGAUGCACGAAAGCGUGGGGAUCAAACAGGAUUAGAUACCCUUGUAGUC